rnacentral:rRNA from 1 species
CGAGAAAGGGGGAGCAAUCCCUGAGUAAAGUGGCGCACGGGUGAGUAACACGUGACUAACCUACCCUGGAGUGGGGGAUAACUGAGGGAAACCUUAGCUAAUACCGCAUAAUACCUAUGGGUCAAAGGAGCAAUUCGCUUUGGGAGGGGGUCGCGGCCGAUUAGUUAGUUGGCGGGGUAAUGGCCCACCAAGACGAUGAUCGGUAUCCGGCCUGAGAGGGCGCACGGACACACUGGAACUGAAACACGGUCCAGACUCCUACGGGAGGCAGCAGUGGGGAAUUUUGCGCAAUGGGGGAAACCCUGACGCAGCAACGCCGCGUGGAGGAUGAAGUCCUUCGGGACGUAAACUCCUUUCGAUCGGGACGAUUAUGACGGUACCGGAAGAAGAAGCCCCGGCUAACUUCGUGCCAGCAGCCGCGGUAAUACGAGGGGGGCGAGCGUUGUUCGGAAUUAUUGGGCGUAAAGGGUGCGUAGGCGGUUUGGUAAGUCUGAUGUGAAAUCUAUGGGCUCAACUCAUAGUCUGCAUCGGAAACUGCCGGGCUUGAGUGUGGGAGAGGUGAGUGGAAUUUCCGGUGUAGCGGUGAAAUGCGUAGAUAUCGGAAGGAACACCUGUGGCGAAAGCGGCUCACUGGACCACAACUGACGCUGAUGCACGAAAGCUAGGGGAGCAAACAGGAUUAGAUACCCUGGUAGUCCUAGCCCUAAACGAUGACU